AAACUGAACUCAAUCUCCUGAAAACUGUUGCAAUGAGUCUGAAUAUCUCUGAUAAUUGCUCUAAUGACCGAUUUGUCUGUAUUUUUGCUUUUACAUUUCUUUAUAAUGGUUCUCGAAUCCCCCAUAACAUCUAUUCUGUUAACUCCCAGUCUAAUCCCUAGUUUUAUUGCAUGUAAUCCUGCAUAUGCCUCUGCUGUAAAUGGAUUUGCUACGUUUGAAUGAGUAACUGCUUGUGUUGCAAGUAGUACCCCUUCCUCGUUCCAUGCUAUUAAACCCGAUGCCGAUCUGAAAUCCUGACUGUUGAAGGCUGCAUCAAAAUGAAUAAUGGUCCUACCGCUUCUGGACACCUGUUGAGAAAACUCAUGAGACAAAAGAGUAAUUUUUCCUUCCUUUGUAACUGCAAGUUCUGUAAUAUAAUCGCUGAUCUUCCUAACGAUUUCUGAUCCUGACAUAUUCUUUCUUUCAUAAACGAGCUGGUUUCUACUGAACCAUAUGAACCAGAGGCUACAAUAGAAGAGUCGAAGUUGUUCAUCAGUUCCUCUAGCAAAGACCCAUGUAAGCCAACCCCAUAUAUUAUCAUUAUUCUGACUCAGUAGCCAUGAAAGAUUCAACUGAUUCCAAACUUCUAUCGAUGUAGGGCAUUUUUGGAAGAUAUGGUAGCUAUUCUCUUCAUCACUUCCGCAUCUAGGACACUGGGAAUUCCUAACAACCCUUUUGAUUUUGAGGUUGUUAAAAGUUGGGAUAAAGUUCCAAGAGAUCCUCCAUACUGUCAUUUGAAUUUUUGAGGGAAUAUGUAAUUUCCAUAAUUUAGUAUAGAAAUUUUUUUCCUCGGUAUGUAACAUUAAUCCAUUAGGAUCAAGGUUAGUCUGCUGUAAUAGUUUAUAAGCACUCCUUACGGAGAACUCCCCUGUCGGUUCUCCUCUCCAUGCUUGAACGUCCUCUUAUACUGUCUCCGCCAGUGGGAUCUGUAAAAUUUUCUCCGUAAUGACCAGUUGGAAG
rnacentral:lncRNA from 1 species